CAUGCCCCAUAUCAAAUUUCAGAGGUCUUUCCAUAUCCUAAGCAGAGGAAAAGUCAUAUUUGAUAAGAGUUCUUCUGCAAGUGAAACUCUCUUAUCAGAUAUGACAUUUUAUUCUUCUCCCGUGCAUACCCAAUAAAAGAUGUAAUAAGCAUCUUUUCAUUAAUCAGAUUAUUUUCAGAUUUUUACAUAUGGAAAGUCUUUUGUUAAAUG
rnacentral:lncRNA from 1 species